rnacentral:tRNA from 1 species
GGCUUCAUAGCUCAGUGGUAGAGCGUUUGCACUGGAAUCGCAAAGGUCAUGGGUUCGAGUCCCGUUGGAGCCU